GCACCUGUAGUUGAGUCGGAAUAGCGCGACACUGAAAAUGUCGAAACGGUCGUUCAAUUUUGCCCAGGUGCAUCA
rnacentral:tRNA from 1 species